UUAUUUGCAUCUGGUUCUAGCAAGGGAAUUGCUGCGAAGGCCCUCAAACAGGGGGGCCAUCCUUUCGAAUCCCUAUCUAGUUGUUUAGAGAUGUAGGCCACCGGCCUCAGCCAAGGCCCCACAGUUUGGGUUAAAAGUCCAGCUGCCAUCUUUUCUCUCUGACGCAUACAAUGGAAAAGGCUUUGUGAGAUCGGGUAGCCCCUCGGCUGGGGCUUUCAGAAGUUUUUCCUUUAAGUCAUGAAAGACUUGCUGUUGUUGGAAUCCCCAUUCCAAAAGUUCCCGGUCCCCGCCCCCAUUGUGACCUCAUACAAAGGCUUGGCUAAUACUGCAAAGUUUGGGAUUCCCAGUCUACAAAACCCCACAGCUCCUAGGAAUUCUCUCACCACCCUUGUGCCUUUAGGCUUCGGUAGAUUGCAAAUGACCUGCUUUCUUUCGGAUCCCGGGCUGCUUUCGGACACCUGUCGAAUAGUAAAUCCCAAGUAAGGUACCUGCGGUCGUCGGCAGAUCUGAAUUUUCUUCUUGGACACCUAAUACCCACAGCCCUCCAGAGACCGAGAGGUUGAUGUCACUCCCAAUAUCGGAGGAAGUAUACACCCCCGUGUGAGAUGGUCCUUAAUAAUAUUCCACGGCGGAGGGGGUGAUAUGACUACAUACAUGGCAGAAAGUGGAAACCUCCCAGGGAUAUUGUUCCCACGAUCCUGGAGGGAAGAAGAUGAUGUUACUUUCAAUAUGACAGAAGGUGGAUGAAGUGGUGGACUGCCCCUCCACACCUGUGGACACGCCCCCACUGAUAUUCCUUCUAAUUGCAGCGUGGGAGAGGAGGAUAUGACACGCGAUAUCGCAGGGAGUAGAAACACCCCUGUGAUACUGUUCUUAAUAUUCAGGGAGGAAGAGGAUGAUAUUACUCCCAAUACAGACGGGUGUACACCCUCUGUACACCGAGGGUGUACACCUGUCUGUGAAAGAAUGGACACGCCCCCACUGAUAUUGUUUUUAAUGCAGCGUGGGAGGGGAGGAUAUGACACGCGAUAUCGCAGUAGAGAUGGGGUUUCACCAUGUUUGCCAGGAUGGUCU
rnacentral:lncRNA from 1 species